GGAUAGAACCCUUUUUUCCCUCAGUAAUUACAGCUGAUUAGAAAAUUGCCUCUUCAAAGAACAGAAACCUCAAGCGUUAUUAGUUAUAAGAGAUCUCUAGUUUCUAAUUAACAAAAAACAGACAUGUUGCACAUUUCUCAUUGUAUGCUUUUGUCACUUAUUAUUCCCCUUUCUGGCAGUAUUCUCAGAAGAACUAAUUUGCCUGCCCUGUGAACAGGGAGAGGGGGAAAACAGUGCCAUUAUUUUAAAAGAUGGAAAACUGGUAUUUUGGUGUUCAGCAUGUUUGCUUGUCUAUCUAUUAAUUCCUAAUAGUUAUCUAAUUACUACUUUAAAGUAUGAUCUAAGUCAAAAGGAAUGUAUUUUUAGGCAACAGUCUAAGAGAGGUCUUUUGUCUGAAAGAGAGAAGUCUUUUGUCAGAAAUGGAUUGAUUACUUUUUAUGAGGAAAAGCAACACAGUAUUGGUACAUCCAUGCUAGAGAGUGAUGGCAGAACAUGUGGCUCCUCCGGUCUGCUUAAAUAGGGUCGCCAUACGUCCGGAAUUUCCAGGACAUAGCUGGAAUGCUGUAGCUGCAAGCAGUGUCUGGGCUGAAAAUUGGCAAAAUGUCUGGGAAAAGCUGGACGUAUGGCAGCCCAUGGCAGCAGUGUCGUUUUUGCCGAUUUCCCUCAGAAAUAGCUCCAAAAUGUCCAAUUUCUUUGCGUUUUUUGCAAAAGAAGCCCAACAACUCAGAGCUCAACAGCUUUUCUGUCUGGAUUUUCACUUUUUGCGACAUGGCAAGCCUAGCAUAUAACUUUUUUGUAAAUCACUUUGAGGUGUUUUGCAACCAAGUAGUAUACAAAUUUUAUGAAAUAAAGAAACACAUACAUACAUAAACAUGCAAGAGGCUUCAAUAAUGGAUAGGGCAUGAUAUUAUUUUUCAUAGCAGUACAGCACAGAGAUGUUUCCAUAUGUAAGCAAAAUUAUGUUUCUAUUAAUCUCAUUUGUCUGUGUUAUCACAGAAAUUCCACUUGCGAAAAGCAGGACUGUUGGGUGUGUUAUACUCAGUGUUCAGAACCAUGUUUAUCCUUGUCAUCAAUUGCUUUAAAAGGGGGCGGAGAGAGAGAGAAAGGAUAAAAUGAAGUUCAAAAUUAGGAAGAAGAACAGCACAAACCCCAUUCUAAUAUCCUAGUCAAAUCUCUCCUCAACUGUGAAUUGACCAGGAGAGCAAUCCAAGCCCUCUUUGCUGCAUGUGGUUGGUUGGUUUCACUUAGACCAAAACAGCAACACCCAGAAAACAAAGAACCAGGUUUCUAUGUCUAAAAGGAAAUAUAUUGAUCAAUAACUAUUUGCUUUAUUUUGCAAGCCAAUUCUACAGGACAUUUUGACUGAGAAACAUUCUCACAUGUCAUAGUUUGUGCUUUGAGAUAGUCGCACUUACUGAGAGACAAAAGCCACAGAUGCUUGUCUGUGAGUCAGUCCUUUAUCUACUCAGUUGUGCUUCCUUCUGUUCAUUUGCUACAAGGCAUCUUAGAAACAAAACCUGGAAAUGUGUGUUUAUUUUCCCGAGGCUCACAUACAGUUUGCAUAUUAUUAUUACUAAAGGAUAAGGAUUAUAUGUGGAUGUUUCCCUUCUAUUUCCCAAGGUGAACUUUACUUCUGAAUGCACUGCUUAAAACCAAACCUGUUGUACAGAGAGUUCAGUGUCAAAAAAUAAUCCAAUAAAUACUAUUCAAUUACUUUUAUUGGUUGUAUCCAAUGGUUGCCCCUGGACAGCAGCUUGUGAAACUCAUUUUAAUCAUCAUCAUCAUCAUCCCCAGCAUCUUCAGGUAGGGCUAUGAGAUAACAGUGUCUGAAACCUUGGAGUCACUGCUAGUUAGGCAGUUCUGAGCUAGGCAGACCAAUGAUCUGACUCAGUCAGAUUAUUGCCCACCCUGAGAAAUUUUCAGUAACAUACAGGGGUGUUUCAGUUGCACUAGCCUCUGCAGGGACAUUAUGGGCAGAAACACAAAUGCAGGUAUUUAUGAUCAGAGCUCUAAUAAUGUGUGUGACUAAUAGAUUUCAGUCAACUAUAAAUUAACUCUUAUGCUUAAUUUUCAGAUUAAUACAUGGCAAAUAGGUCCCUUAGGCGAUUUCAAAAUCCCUGAAUGAAUGAUUUAAUGAAGGCUUUGGGGUUGUUUUUAAUAACAGCCUUUACUCCCCUGUAGUGGCUCAUUGCCCCUGCUCCUCCCUCUCUCAGUUACCGGUAAGCUUAGCUACUAAUAAUCAGAGAUAAACAUUAGAGGGAAGAAGAGGCAGGUAGUGAUGCCUGUUUGCUGUGGGCUUCUGAAGGAGUUUCUGAAUAGCCAGAGCAUCAGUCUCACACAUGACUAUUUUCAACAUGGUGAGUGUAAUGUGCAGCCAGGCCCUGAAAGUGAGUCUGCCUGGGAGUCCUACAUUUGUCAUUUUGAGUUCCAUGAUGGAGAAAAAGAAGGUGUACUAAAAUGUACAAAACUGAUAACAGUAAAUAAAUUGCAGGUUUGAUUAUAGAAAUGGCUUCAUCCAUAAUAUGUCAUGAUUUGAGCCUGAGAAGAUUCGCCUUGCUUUUCCUUCCAGUGGCAUGGAAGCACUACAAAAAGACCGGGGGUCAGUUCUGUGUUUCAUAGAUGCAUAUACCUCUUAGAUGCUAUGAACCACAAACAGUUACACAACAAUUGGAAUGUACCACAAUAUGACAUUGGAAUCUAAAAUGGAAUGAAAGAAGCAUCCUAGUGCACUCUUCUGAACAGAGGUUUCCUGGAAAGUAGUUAAUGGUGGAGUAAUGCAGACUGAAUUCAACACAGAAGUUAUAUAAAGAGGAUUGUCGUAUUAGAAGACAGAUUGUGUUGGCAGUAUUUCUGGCAUAAUGGUUAGGGAUUCCUGGGGCAGAGAGUAUUAGGAAAAAGGAUAUUUCGUGUUUAAAUUUUGUGAGGGGGGAAUAAAGGAGCUUUGGCUGAGUAUCUGUGUACUGAAUACCAUUUCUUACUAUUUUUUGAAUACAUUGUUGUGAUUUUGCUGUUAAAGCAUACAGUUUCAGAGUGAAGGCAAUGGUUCAGUUCCAGAUUGCAUUAAUCAGCCUGGGGACAAGAAAAUCUGGAACGAUGUAAAUGAAAAGAACAGCUUUUGGGCUGACUCAAUGCUGCCAAGAUAUCCACUUCUGGAUAGAUUUGCUUAUCUAUAUUAUCUAUAGAUUUUGUUAAUCUGUUUUUAUAGAGGAGAGUUUUUAGAUUCUAUAAACUUCACUACCACAUUUUUUUCAGAGAUGCAUAUAUUUCACUUUAGGAUUAUCUAUUUACUACCUAAAUCCAAAGUCAAGAGAAUAUUAUAAAAACUCGAUGGCAAGCACAGUAUAUUUUACACUUAUUUUUAAAAAGGAAGAUAAAGGGCAAGUUUAUGAGGCAAUUUGUAAAAGGCUGAUAUUUUGAAGAGUAAGAAAAAGUGUUGCAUUUGUAAAAUGUGUAUUUUUAAAAGAACUGUGCACAGAUUAUGUCAGUGUAUAGUCAAUAUACAGGGACAGCAGGACUGCAUAAUUUCCUGAGACAAAUUGCCAAGAUUUAGAAGUGAAAAUAAAAAGGUUCUUGUAUUGCAGCUUUUUGUUUCCCCCUCCAUGGAUAACAUCAGCUUCAGGAUAGGGUAGGAGGUGGAUUGGCAUUGUGGGAAAGAAUUAAAAAGCAAGCAAACAAAAACCAAAACCCUUCAUCCGCACCACAGCCCUAAUACAGGUAAAGAAAAAGAAAUCAGGACACUGGACAUUUUAGUUAUAAUGUUGUAGUGUGUAGUUGGCCUUCACACAGAUCAUUUUUAAAGUACUUUACACAUAUGAUUUGAUUAUCUCUGCAAUAGCCUGAUAAUUUGGAUUUCCAUUUUGUAGAUGUGGAACCGAGGCUGGGAAUAAGAGUGGCUUGCCUGACGUGGCCACUUGGUUUGUGGCUGUGGUGAGAUUUGAAGCAGGGACCUGCUGGCUUGCAAGGUUGCAGUGCUGUAACCAGUAUUUAUGCCAGCUUCCGGCAGUAUAGGCAAUGACCGAUUAGCACACAUCUGAAAGGUACGCAAUUGCACACAGUGCCGAACCCAGAAGUGGCUGAAAACGUCACAGAACACAUCAUUAAAAGGGCAUAACGGGGCAGGGUGCGCUUAUAUGUGCUCCACUGAUGCGUACGGGUGCCCGAAACGGAACCCCCUUGUGAAAUGGUCAUUGACUGUACCAAAAUCGCCCCCGAAGUAGCAAUGGGUGGUGCUGCUACAGCCCCAAGCAGAGCUGCUCCUGCAGGAAGUUUAAUGGGGCAGCAGCAUUCGCCUGACCUCAAGUCAAUCACAUUGCUACUGCUUACCAGGUAAUAGACAGGGAAGACUGAUGUGGCAAAGAUAUCAGUGGAGCCAGUCCCACUGGCACAUUUGCACUGCGCCCACAUUCUCCCCUCUACUUCCAAGUAAGCACCAGUAACACAACUGACAGGAGGUUAGCUGAGUGUUGCUGCCUCACGUUGUCCAAUACUGUGCUGAUGGCCUGUUUUCCCACAUGAGGACACACUGGGUGUAAGGAGGGAGAUACUCUAUGUGGCAGGACAUGCCUGUAGCAAAAUAUUUUUCUUCUUUUUUGAAUAAAGUAUUUUUAUUCAUUUUUCAGAAAACAAGCAGCGCAAACACCAGCAAACAACUUGGCUGUCAUUGCAGAAUCCAUAUCAAAAAUUCAGGGGAAGACACGUUGCAGUUUAAAUGCACUGAAGGCACAAUCUUACAUAUUAAUGUACCAGGUCUCUCCAUAUACUUCAGCAGCAAAAUAUUAUCUGACUCAAAAUGACUCCCCAUGAGCAAGCCCUUUACAGUGGUGCCCCGCAAGACGAAAAACUCGCUAGACGAAAGAGUUUUCCGAUUUUUGAGUCGUUCCGCAAGACGAAUUUCCCUAUGGGCUUGCUUCGCAAGACGAAACGUCUUGCGAGUUCUUGCGAGUUUGUUUCCUUUUUCUUAAAGCCGCUAAGCCGUUAAUAGCCGCUAAGCCGCUAAUAGCCGUGCUUCGCAAGACGAAAAAACCGCAAGACGAAGAGACUCGUGGAACAGAUUAAUUUCGUCUUGCGAGGCACCACUGUACUUUCUGUUUUGUUCUUCAAAGAAUUUUAUCUUGUGGGAACAUCUGAGGGAAGAAGCUACAGCUUUCGCUUGAGAAAGGAGACGGCCAGGCCAAGGAAGGGGCAGAAAAAGGGGAUCUUGCUUUGUUCAAGAAGAAUGAAGAACAUGCAGUUAAGAAGUUUCUUAAACACAUUGACCUGGUCCUUUCAGGGCAAAAAAUUAGUGGAGCAGAGGUAGGCUAAUUCACACCACGGCUUGGGCCAAAAAACUCAAGUUAUAAAUAUACAUAUUGGCUAAUAUGUGAGUGGGGUUUUCUCUU